rnacentral:rRNA from 1 species
UUAAGAAUCUUGCGCAAUGGGGGAAACCCUGACGCAGCGACGCCGCGUGGACGAUGAAGGCCUUCGGGUUGUAAAGUCCGAUAAGCAGGGAAGAAUAAGCAACGGGUAAUAUUCGUUGUGAUGACGGUACCUGACUAAAGCCCCGGCUAACUACGUGCCAGCAGCCGCGGUAAUACGUAUGGGGCUAGCGUUGUUCGGACUUAUUGGGCGUAAAGGGCGUCUAGGCGGGGGAUUAAGUUGGGUGUGAAAUCCCUGGGCUCAACCCAGGAACUG